GGACCUGAGGUAUAUGAAAAUAGAGCAGGCAAGUGUUCAAAAGACAGUUCGAUAGAAACUCAUUAUCUGGCAUCGUUGGUUUCUUGGCUUUGUGCAUGUUAAACCUGGUAUUUCUAAUGAUACAGUU